AUCCUUUUCCAGUUCGUAAGCAUGAUGACUGGGUUCUCACGAGCUUGCAUGACAUGUGCCUCCCUCUAAUCCUUGUUACAGCAUGGGUACAUUACCCGUCUGACA